ensembl:miRNA Mir503 microRNA 503
UGCUCUAGCAGCGGGAACAGUACUGCGGUCAGCUAUCCACACUCUGCAGUAAUGUUGCCGCUGCCAGGGUA